UGGUGGAUUGAUUUGUCUGGUUGAUUCCGAUAACGAACGAGAUCUCUGCAAGAUACCUGGUCUGACAGGGCCCUUUCCCUGCUCAGUCAGUUUCUGGACAGUGCAUGGCAAGUGCAAGGAAGUGGAGGCAAUAACA
rnacentral:rRNA from 1 species